UGGAGCGGGUAGGAAAUUGAAAUUUGAUGAACUUGCCAAAGGUCUUUUGACUCAUAAAAAUGUAAAGUCAAACAUCAAGUUCAAGAUUUUCUGCAGGAGUAUUCUGUGAAUCACUCUACUACUAAUUUUGUCUUUGUCAACUAUCACUUCCAUAUUUCUAUAUUUUAACAUUUCAAUGGUUCUCCAUUGUCUGCAGAAUAAAAGCCAACUCUGUUACUUUAACCCUGGAUCCAAAGUCUAUGUGUAUCCAUGCACUUAUCACUCAUGUCCUCCUCCUUUAUCUACUUGUAUGAAAUUCCCAUUCAUCCCUCAAUGCAUUUUUAGUUUCUGCCUUCUCAACAAUUUUGCCAAGUCCCAAACCCACAACUAUUUCUUCAAUUCCUGAACAAUAAUUGCCUUAUAUCACUUUGUUUUGUAAUUUAUUUUUGCUUUUUCAGGUAAGUUAUUGACAGAAUAGUCUUGCAGAAUAUCUUUUUUUUUUUUUUUAGAAUUUAUUUUAUUUAUUUGAAAGACAGAGUUACAGAGAGAGGUAGAGACAGAGAGAGAGCUCUUCCAUCCGCUGGUUCACUCCCCAGAUGGCCGCAACAGCUGGAGCUGCGCAGAUCCAAAGCCAGGAGCAGGAGCUUCCUCAUGGUCUCCCACAUGGGUGCAGGGGCCCAAGGACUUGGGCUAUCUUCUACUGCCUUCCCAGGCCAUAGCAGAGAGCUGAAUCGGAAGAGGAGCAGCUGGGAUUAGAACCGGUGCUCAUAUGGGAUGCCGGCGCUUCAGGCCAGGACUUUAACCCACCGCACCACAGCACUGGCCCCAGAAUAUCAUGAAUUUGAUGUUUGACUCUGCAGUUUAGCCCCAUUCAGCUUUGCGGUUCAGCUGAUCUCAUGCAUUCAUGACUGAGCUUACUUGUUCAUCUGCAAUCAGAUUGAGUAUCACUGGGACCCAGUUGUUCUGGGAUGGCUGCAAUUCUAUGCUGGCAAUGGUCUGGUCAUCAGCUGGGAUGAUAGAGGUAACUGGGCCACAUGUUUCCAUCUAUAGCAGAAAAUACCAGUUUGCUUUCAUAGCAUCUGGACAGGAUUAACACGAGACUUCUUGAAGCCUAAGCUCAGACAUGUUAUAAAAUUCACUUCCUUUUCAUUCUGUUGUAUAAAACAAAUCACAAAUCAAGCUCAAACUCAGGAGAUAGGGAAAUAACCAGCAUUUUUUACUGUGAAGUCACAUUUGCAAAGAGUAUGACUAUCUAGAGGCAUAAACCUCUCUCUCUGGUACAGGGAGAUCAAUUAAUUUGGUCAAGUUUAUGGUUUGUAAGUGACAGACAUGGAUUGGAACUCCACCAUGUCUAUCUGAUACUAAAUCAUCUGUUCUAUCUUACACUAUGACUAUACUAUUUCAACUCUUCUAUCUUCCUCAAUUAAGAUGAGCAUAUUAUUAAUUUUAAUUGGAAGGAAGCUUUACUGGUAGAAAUGUCAUAGAAAAGAAAAAAAUUCCCUAAGCAUCUCCUUCCAUUUAUCAUUCUUCUGGAAAUCACAAUCUGCCCAGAGUAUGACAUGUAUUAUCCCUCAAAGGAAAUUAAAAUGAACAUUCUAAUCAGCUGUGGUUCAUGCUGCAGAAAAUUCUGCAUUAUCUGUGACAAAGAUAUGCCCCUCCUUUUGCUAAGCAUGGUUCUGGGUCUCACCCUACCCCUGGUAUCAUUCAUCUAGUUCUGGUUGGCACUGGCCCAUGGCUGCAUUCCCAGAAUCACUACAUUCCCAGGCCAACCAUUCCUCUACUUCACAUUAUGUCUACUUCAGUGAAUCAGGAAGGAUUCUUAGAGAAAAGAAAACAAAUACAGGCUGUAUAAAUAGAGUGUAUUGUAUGGUUGAGAAUGAAGCAAUGUUAGAGAAAGUCUAAAAUUUUGCAAAGCAAUAGCAAUUAUAAAGUUUUAAACAUAACUGUAGGUAAUCAUCAUACAUAAUAUGAAAGGAAAAGAUACUACAAGAAAGACUUAGGGGAAGACAGAGGUGGCUAUCAGUGUGUACCUAAGGGCAAGAAGAGGGCCCUUAGAAAAUUCAUGUGAUUUCUCUACUUACUUUGCUGUUUAACCACAUUGCUUUUUAUUGUCUCUUCUGUUUCAAGCCAGGAGUUCUCUGAUCCAGCUCUCCUCAAAUUUGACUGUACAUGAAAGUCAACAGGAGAGCUUGUUAAAAUGCAGAUUCUAAUGCCAUGGCUGUACCAUGAGUCUGAGACUUUAGAUUAUGACAGGCUCCCAAGUUAUGUCCAUGCUACUGAUUUGGAAUCCCUGUUUGUAUAGGAAAGCUCUUGUCUAUAAACACAGCAUUAGGGGAAAUGGGUAGGUGAGAGGAAUAAGAUCUAGUAUCUUAGAAAAUGAAGUUAAAAAGAAUAUUUAGGCCGGCGCCACUGCUCACUAGGCUAAUCCUCCGCCUUGCGGCGCCGGCACACCGGGUUCUAGUCCCGGUCGGGGCACCGGAUUCUGUCCCAGUUGUCCCUCUUCUAGGCCAGCUCUCUGCUGUGGCCAGGGAGUGCAGUGGAGGAUGGCCCAGGUGCUUGGGCCCUGCACCCCAUGGGAAACCAGGAUAAGUACCUGGCUCCUGCCAUCGGAUCAGUGCGGUGCGCCAGCUGCAGCGCACCAACCGCGGCGGCCAUUGGAGGGUGAACCAACGGCAAAGGAAGACCUUUCUCUCUAUCUCUCUCUCUCACUGUCCACUCUGCCUGUCAAAAAAAAAAAAAAAAAAAGAAUAUUUACUCACUUUGCAUUUUUAAAAGUCUUUAGCUUUGGAGUAUGACACGCAAUAUCAGACUGAUAUCAGAGAACUAUUAUGCUUGCCUUUUUAAAAUAAAAUUUUGUUUAUUCUGCUGACUACUGGGAUUUGAGACUAGCUAGUUCCUCAAAUGUUUUCUGUAUUUAUGUAACUGAAAAUGAAUUUAGGCUUCUACUUUCAGAAUCCAAUAAGAUUCUUUUUUCUGUUACAGGUGAAUUAGUGAAGGCACAAACAUAAUCAAUUUCAUUUAGCUUGUAGGGGUGUAAAUAUGUCAUCUAAAUGAAAAUUGUAGCUUUUAAGGCAAAAAUGAUCAACACAAUGUUAGAGUUUGUUUUUGUAAAAGCAGUAAUAAGUUCACUCUAACUAGGAGAAGCCUGACCUAAGAAAAUGCAAGACAAGAACAUAAAUUUGCUGCUUCUCUUUUUGAAGCUUCUGACAAAAAAAAAAAAAUUCCCAAAUAAGAUCUCUAAAAUAAAGCAAUACAUUCAUUAGUGACAAAAUAAAAGGCCUUUAUUCUUCUCAUUUCCCAGUUUGGAAAAGCAAGGCACAGAGAAGUUAAUCAAUUUGUUCAAGAUCGAUGUAUUCAUGAGCUCCAGAGGAACCCUGUGAGUGAGAGUCAGCCCAGCCACACUGAGGCAGUCUUCCUUGCUCUCUCUCACUAGGCUUCUGCUGGCCUAGAGACCAUCCAACUUGGCUUCCCAGCCUCCUGGACUUGUCUUCACACAUGCCGUUGACCUCUUGAUGACUAUAUCUUUUAUCAUUGCACUGAUAUGCUGGAAUUUUCCCAGGCAGUUUCUAAUUUAGUGUGUCAGUAAAUGUUAAAAGUAAUUGUUCGGCCGGCGCCGCGGCUCACUAGGCUAAUCCUCAGCCUAGCGGCGCCGGCACACGGGGUUCUAGUCCCGGUUGGGGCGCCGGAUUCUGUUCCGGUUGCCCCUCUUCCAGGCCAGCUCUCUGCUGUGGCCAGGGAGUGCAGUGGAGGAUGGCCCAGGUGCUUGGGCCCUGCACCCCAUGGGAGACCAGGAAAAGCACCUGGCUCCUGGCUCCUGCCAUCAGAUCAGCACGGUGCGCCGGCCGCGGCGGCCAUUGGAGGGUGAACCAACGGCAAAGGAAGACCUUUCUCUCUGUCUCUCUCUCUCACUGUCCACUCUGCCUGUCAAAAAAAAAAAAAAAAAGUAAUUGUUCUAUUUUUCAUCAAUGCCUUUGCACAGAUUCACUGGUAUUCAUAUUAAACUUCAUUUGCUGCUCCUGCAGUCCCCAACAUCAGUAAUGCAUGUUUGAGAAAUCCUGUCCUGAGACUCUGGCUUCCUUUCCUUGGCCUUCCCAACCCCAGCUCACUGACACAUAUUGUCACCACUCACAGAACUGUGCUACUCAGAAAGUCACAGAGGAAAAGAAAGGGAAAUGACCUGUUUUGGAAAACACUGGUCCAUGUUCAACAGAAGCAGUUUCUCUUUCACAACCAGGAUGAUCAAUAAUUCACAGUCUAAAUCAGGACACCUUCAAAAACGAAGGAGUAAGAUUGAAAUCACGCUAAAACAAAAGGCAUAAAUUAGGAUUGGUUAGGGAUACUAUAACAUAUGGCCACCCUAUCAGAGGCUUGCACUGAUCUCUAUGUGGGCGCCUCUAAGACUUAAUUGGAAAAGGUCUUGAAUGCUGCAGAGUUUUGCGGACCCUGUGCAGUAAUCUAAGCAUAAAAAGUUUGAAGCCCCUGUUGAAGUUCCACUACAUUAUAACCUUCAGUUAUCAAUAGAUUUUUAUAACUUUUUAAGAACUUAAAUGAUUCUGAACGCAUGUCGAAAUAAACACAAAGAAACAGAGCAAUGGAAAAGGUAGAAUUUAUUUCAAGCUUAAUUGUUUUAUUCUUGCUUCCAUUUCAUUUCAAACCCGUUACUGGUUGUAAAACAUUUUGUGUCUGCUGAGCACUUACAUCAGAAACCAAUGGUGGUUAAGAAGAGAAAAAAAACUCUUAAAGAAUGGAAGUGCAGAACUAAAGGUAAUGAAAUACAAACUCCACUUCCAUUCAUUAAGGGUGAAGCUUGUGUUUAAUUUAAAAAGGAAAACAAGGUUAAGAAGUGAUUAAAUUGUGCUAUCUAGAAAAAUGUAAAAAUGCUUUUAUUUUACAACGCAUUUUAAAACACAGAAGUCUUUUGCAGAUUGUCAUCUAAUCCCUUCCUAGGCAAGUACAACAACAUAGGAAAAUGGGGUAUUGUACAUCUUAAGCUGCCUUAUAGGCACUACUUCUAACAUAUUUUCCCAUCUGUUGUUCCACAACUCCAAUCUUUAUCUCCAAUAAUCUGCUAAGUCUUAGUUUCCUUGAAUUCAAUUAUAGCUCCUGUUAUCUUUUGCAAGCUCUUUCCUGAAUAUGUAACUCUACAAUAUAGAAACCCAUAAAGAAAGUCUAAGAUCUUUAACUCUAUUUACAAAUCCCUGAAUCAUCUGUGUCCCAAGCCUCAUGACUGAGCAAAUAAUAUGCUCACAUUUAUUAAAUGAUUAUGAAAAAGACAUGACAAAGCCAUUCUCUAAAGGAAUUUACUCUCUCUGAACAAGUAGUGUUGAGAUGGACUGAGACUUUCCAAGAACUGGUUUACAAAUAAUUUUUAUGCCUGUUUUGUGAAGCAAGGUGGAAAUGGGCGAAGCAAACAAGAAGAACAGAGAGUACAGAAAGUGUUUUGGUCUAGAAACCAGGUGGAGGAACCAGAUCCCGAAGUGUUUGAAGAGCUGAAAACUGAAAAGGAGUACAUCAGAAGGGAAGGGAGAACAAGACUAGAACUUGCAGAACUAUUUUUAAAUCUCUUGCAAUUUGUGAGAGCUCAUUCCAUCAAAAGAAGGCUUAUGUUUUGUGCCACAGAUAAAGACCCUGGACUCAGUAAUUCUCAAUCCUGGCUGCAGAUUAAAACCACAGGUGACUUACAAAAUGUGAAUUAUCCCUGGACUCAUUCCAAUGUUCUGAUUUGACUGGUCUCAGAUAGGGAUCAAAAAUGCAAUGUGUAAAAACUCCCUCUACCAAGGUGACUCUUGUGAAAAUUAAAUGAGAUUACCCAAGUGGAUGCACUUUGCACAGGGCUCUCUAAAGGUUGACUGUUAUUGAUAGGAUUACUGAAUCAAUAGCCACUGCAUUUCAAAGCAAAAGGGAGAAAGAGCACAUUUAUGAACUACACUAGGGCUUCAGCUCAGUUCGGAAGACGUCUUUGAACUGAAUCUCAAAGCCCAGGUUAAGUCAAGAAUAGGGUCAUGCAGCCUGCCCAGGAGAAGGAAGAGCAGAGACAGAGGCAUAAGGGAAAAGAAAACAAGACAAACAGCAACCACAACAAAACUACCACCCUGAAGAUAUAUUAUGUGUGUGGACUUUGUGAUGCUGUAUGAAAAACUACACCAUUCCUAAGAGGAAGCCAAUUGUGUUCAAACUGCGGUUAUUAGCUCCGUUUCCAACCCAACACAAAUUAAAGGACCGUUGUAAAGAAACAAAUGGAAUCUAGAAAGAACAUACCAUCUCUUUGAAAGCUCCUCACCACAUCCACCCACCUGGCCUGGAGAUAGAAGAAUUACAGGGAGCCCAGCUGAGUAAUAAUGUUAUUGAUUGCCAACUAAUCGGAUUUUUCUUGAGUCUGGCAACAGUCAAGUGUUUACAAGACUUCUCUUUUCAAAACAACUCAAAAAAUAUUCCCAGAAGAGAAGCUAGAAACCAGAAAAUCAAUAACGCAGGAACUGCUACUAAGGAUUUUCAUCUACCCAGCAAGGAGGAGAUUUAUUUAUAGAAAAACUGGCCACUCCAGUUUAGUGUGGUAAUAACAUAGUACAGCUAGUUCAAAGAGUGGCAUGGUUGAACACAGCCUUGUAUUAUGCCCACUGUAAAUGGUCUCUACGAGGAAAAGCCUGUAAUUUAGAGAGAUUUGCCAUGAAUGGUAAAGCCUGGGUCAUCGUAACAGAUACUUUUUGCCAGCUCUAUUUGUGGAGGAGAUAUGCAAAAAAGAAGGAAAAAGGUUAGCUUCAGGAAACCUAGAAGGGGAAAGUGAGCCUUAUUUGCUUUACCUACCUGAAAGCUAUCUCACUUAUUUAUCACAAAGGCACAGAAUCCUAAAAACUGGAAUGUAUGUGUUUUACUCCCUAAAAAGUCAUUUCCUUUCUGUCUUAUUUACACAUCAUUCAUUUUUAUAUAUUCCUUUAACUCUGGGAAAAACCAUGGACUCACUUCAGUUGCAUUUUUUAAAGAUUUAUUUAUUUGGAAAAGCAGAGUGACACAGAUAGGAGGAGAGACAGAGAGGAAGAGAUUCCCCAUCUGCUGGCCAACUCCCCAAAUGGCCACAAUGGCCAGUGCUGGGGCAGGCCAAAACCAGGAGCCAGGAACUCCAUCUGGGUUUCCCACUUGGGUGGCAGGGACAAAAGUGCUUGAACUGUCAUCUGCUACUUUCUCAGACAUAUUAGUGGGAAAGUGGAUCAGAAGCUGAGCAGUUGGAACUUGAAACAUAACUCUGAUAAGGAGUGUUGGCCUUGCAAGUGGCAGCCCAAAUGCUGUGCCGCCUCUUCAGUUGCUUUUUCAUAUUAGUAUUUAUCAAUGGUGGGAGUUGGAAACUGAGUCAAAUUGUGAAACUCUUUUCCAGGGAAAUCCUUAAUACAUGAUCCUUAUGUAGAAUAUCCAGUCUAUUCUUACUAUUGCUUACGGAAAAGCAAUAGAUAUAGAUUGUAGGCUUGUCUGCUUUAAAGUCUUCUCUGAAGAUGCACACAGCAAUAUCAGCAUUUAUUAGAAAUUUUAUCACCAUAUAAAUAUUCUAUCAGGAAUUAGGGAAUAGUGGGUCUAAACUAAUCUUCAUAAGCCUCUCUACAUUGUCACUUCUAGUUACCAUCAGCCAGCUGUUAUGCUGUCCCAAGAUGAUAUUUUCACAGUGGAACGCUGGUAAAGAUUUAAAACUGGCUUUCCAAGGAAAAUAGGCCUGAUUUGUUUUGUUUGACAAUUUCUGUGGUGUACAUACUCCCACAUGGCUCAUUUCAAGCUAUCAACAUGAAAUCCUUGAAAGCACAGUUUGUAAGAGAGACACCAUAAUGUACUAUUUCCCAAUUAAAGAUACAACUGAAGUAAAAAAAAAAAAAAAAGGAGAACACAUACUAAUACAAUGCAAUAAAACAGUAAGUGAUGAGUUUUGAGUAUGCCCUUGUUUUAAAAUAUUUAGGCAAUUGUAAGCCUGAAUAUUUUAUUUUUAAUGGUUUUGUUUGUUACCCAGGUUGAAAAAUUCCUGAAAAUCUACAAUUGGCUCACGUGAGAAGGUAGUUGCCAGUUCCAGCAAGGACUCUGCAAAAUAAAGUCCAGAUUUAGGGGUAAAAGGAGGACACAGACCCUCACCAGCAAAUACAUGGUACUGUGAAAAACCUGAGCCGCUUACAAACAGAGGGGAAACUGACCAAUAUACAAUAGGGUUGAGGAAAAAAUCCAAAAACAAAUUUUCAGAUGCCAGCCUGUAGGGCAGAGGUUGCCAACUAGUGGACUGAAAACUGAGGGAUUUGAGGCCACUGGGCCAACCUGUGUGCUUUGCGUGGCAGAAAUCAGUUGCUUCUGAUUUUUUGGUCAAGAUUUCUGAACUCCAGUUUACAACUGUCUGAACCAUGUCCACUGUUUGUCCCAUGGCUUUGUUUCACACAUGUCCAUAACCUAUGGAGGCAGAGUGCCUAUGAAUCAGCACUUCAGUAAAUACACCCUAGCAUGAAAUCUUGUGGCUUUCACUAACAGCUACAUGCUGACGAAUGCCACAUUCAUAUCUCCAGCCUAGACUUCUCUCAACCAUAGAAUCCCAUUUCUAGCAGCCAUUCCUCAUUUUCCCUUGAAUGUCUAAUAGGCAACUCAAACACAACAUACUCACCACUGAACUGACCCCACCACAUUCUUCACCAGUUUGGAAAAUGGCUACUCCAUCCUUCCAGUUUCCUGAGCCAAAAUCAAAGCCACAUAUUUGACCCUCUUUCUCUCUAUCACACAUUCUGUUCAUUCACAAAUCCUGUCAGUUGUACCCUCAAAAAUGCAUCUCCAAAAGCUGACCUUUUUAUCACCUUCAACUUCCAUAGCAACAGUUUCCAUAAUCUCUCUCCCAUGGUAUCGUAGUAGGCUUCCUAAAUGGUCCCUGUACCCACUGCUGAUUCUCACAGCAGCCAUCAUAAGCCUUCUAUAACUUAAUUUGACUUUUAUAUGUUUUGUAGAGAUAAACCUUCACUCAGAGUCCACAGGCCUUUGCUUCUGCUGUUCCCUAAAUGAUGUUCCUUCCCCCAGAGAGCCCCAGGGAGCCCCUUGGCCCUUUUUGCCAUCCAGUUGGCUUUCCCUAAGUGUCAUCUUAUGACAACCCUAUUUAAAAUACUAACUCCAUCAAAAUUCUCCUUUUCACUCUUUUCUCCAUGCACUUACCACCUGCUGACAGAGUGUAAAUUUUAAUGUUUUUCUUCUCCUACAUCUUUCUAAAGUCAGAGAUGCCUGUCUGUCUUGUUCAUUGCUUUAUUCUCAGGAAUACCUGGCAUCAUAGGAACUAAGUAAUAUCAAUUGAAGCACUGGGUUUCAAUGUGUCACCCCAAAUUCAUGUGUAGGAGGCUUAAUUCUCAAAUAAUUUUUGGGAAGUGGGGCCUUUGGGGGACAUAUUUAGGUCUUUAGGGCUUGUUUUCAUGAAUGGAUUAGUGUAAGGUCAUCACAAAACACACCAAACACUGGUGUAAGGGAAAGGGUUUAUUGGGGAAAACCCAGCAGACUGGAGGGAAGGGGCGAAGAAGGAAAAAAGAGU